rnacentral:rRNA from 1 species
UACGUAGGGUGCAAGCGUUACUCGGAAUUACUGGGCGUAAAGCGUGCGCAGGCGGUUUGCUAAGACAGGUGUGAAAUCCCCGGGCUUAACCUGGGAACUGCGCUUGUUACUGGCAGGCUUGAGUGUGGCAGAGGGGGGUGGAAUUCCACGUGUAGCAGUGAAAUGCGUAGAGAUGUGGAGGAACACCGAUGGCGAAGGCAGCCCCCUGGGCUAACACUGACGCUCAUGCACGAAAGCGUGGGGAGCAAACAGG